GACAGAGGGUGCAAACGUUGUUCGGAAUUACUGGGCGUAAAGCGCGUGUAGGCAGCUGCGCAAGUUGGGUGUGAAAGCCCUUGGCUCAACUGAGGAAGUGCACUCAAAACUGCGUAGCUUGAGUCCCGGAGAGGAUGGUGGAAUUCUCGGUGUAGAGGUGAAAUUCGUAGAUAUCGAGAGGAACACCGGUGGCGAAGGCGGCCAUCUGGACGGUGACUGACGCUGAGACGCGAAAGCAUGGGGAGCAAACAGG
rnacentral:rRNA from 1 species